GACGAACGCUGGCGGCGUGCUUAACACAUGCAAGUCGAACGAAGAGCGAUGGAAGCUUGCUUCUCUCAAUCUUAGUGGCGAACGGGUGAGUAACGCGUAAUCAACCUGCCCUUCAGAGGGGGACAACAGUUGGAAACGACUGCUAAUACCGCAUACGAUCUAAUCUCGGCAUCGAGGAUAGAUGAAAGGUGGCCUCUACAUGUAAGCUAUCACUGAAGGAGGGGAUUGCGUCUGAUUAGCUAGUUGGAGGGGUAACGGCCCACCAAGGCGAUGAUCAGUAGCCGGUCUGAGAGGAUGAACGGCCACAUUGGGACUGAGACACGGCCCAGACUCCUACGGGAGGCAGCAGGGGGGAAUCUUCCGCAAUGGACGAAAGUCUGACGGAGCAACGCCGCGUGAGGGAUGACGGCCUUCGGGUUGUAAAGCUCUGUUAAUCGGGACGAAAGGCCUUCUUGCGAACAGUUAGAAGGAUUGACGGUACCGGAAGAGAAAGCCACGGCUAACUACGUG
rnacentral:rRNA from 1 species